rnacentral:tRNA from 1 species
GAGAAAUUAGUUUAUAUAACCUAAAACAUUAACUUGUCAAGUUAAAGAUAUUAAUUUAAUAAUUCUCA